rnacentral:rRNA from 1 species
CCUACGGGUGGCAGCAGUGAGGAAUAUUGGUCAAUGGACGCAAGUCUGAACCAGCCAUGCCGCGUGCAGGAAGAAGGUGCUAUGCAUUGUAAACUGCUUUUAUACGGGGGUAAUUAGAGAUACGUGUAUCUGGAUGAAAGUACCGUAUGAAUAAGGAUCGGCUACCUCCGUGCCAGCAGCCGCGGUAAUAGGGGGGAUCAGGGCGUUAUCCGGUUUUAUUGGGUUUAAAGGGUGCGGAGGCGGGCAGGUAAGUGAGAGGUGAAAGCUCGAUGCUGAACAACGAAACUGCCUUUGUGACUGUCUGACUAGAGGGUAGUUGCGGAAGGCGGAAUGUGUGGUGUAGCGGUGAAAUGCUUAGAUAUCACACAGAACACCGAUUGCGAAGGCAUCUUUCCAAGCUAUUACUGACGCUGAGGCACGAAAGCGUGGGGAGCGAACAGGAUUAGAUACCCGUGUAGUC